rnacentral:rRNA from 1 species
AGUGAACGCUGGCGGUAGGCCUAACACAUGCAAGUCGAACGGCAGCACAGUAAGAGCUUGCUCUUACGGGUGGCGAGUGGCGGACGGGUGAGGAAUACAUCGGAAUCUACUUUUUCGUGGGGGAUAACGUAGGGAAACUUACGCUAAUACCGCAUACGACCUACGGGUGAAAGCAGGGGAUCUUCGGACCUUGCGCGAUUGAAUGAGCCGAUGUCGGAUUAGCUAGUUGGCGGGGUAAAGGCCCACCAAGGCGACGAUCCGUAGCUGGUCUGCGAGGAUGAUCAGCCACACUGGAACUGAGACACGGUCCAGACUCCUACGGGAGGCAGCAGUAGGGAAUAUUGGACAAUGGGCGCAAACCUGAUCUAGCCAUACCGCGUGGGUGAAGAAGGCAUUCGGGUUGUAAAGCCCUUUUAUUGGGAAAGAAAAGCAGCAGGUUAAAACCCCGCUGUUCUGACGGUACCCAAAGAAUAAGCACCGGCUAACUUCGUG